rnacentral:rRNA from 1 species
CCCCGGUAAACGGCGGCCGUAACUAUAACGGUCCUAAGGUAGCGAAAUUCCUUGUCGGGUAAGUUCCGACCUGCACGAAUGGCGUAAUGAUGGCCAGGCUGUCUCCACCCGAGACUCAGUGAAAUUGAACUCGCUGUGAAGAUGCAGUGUACCCGCGGCAAGACGGAAAGACCCCGUGAACCUUUACUAUAGCUUGACACUGAACAUUGAGCCUUGAUGUGUAGGAUAGGUGGGAGGCUUUGAAGUGUGGACGCCAGUCUGCAUGGAGCCGACCUUGAAAUACCACCCUUUAAUGUUUGAUGUUCUAACGUGGACCCGUAAUCCGGGUUGCGGACAGUGUCUGGUGGGUAGUUUGACUGGGGCGGUCUCCUCCUAAAGAGUAACGGAGGAGCACGAAGGUUGGCUAAUCCUGGUCGGACAUCAGGAGGUUAGUGCAAUGGCAUAAGCCAGCUUGACUGCGAGCGUGACGGCGCGAGCAGGUGCGAAAGCAGGUCAUAGUGAUCCGGUGGUUCUGAAUGGAAGGGCCAUCGCUCAACGGAUAAAAGGUACUCCGGGGAUAACAGGCUGAUACCGCCCAAGAGUUCAUAUCGACGGCGGUGUUUGGCACCUCGAUGUCGGCUCAUCACAUCCUGGGGCUGAAGUAGGUCCCAAGGGUAUGGCUGUUCGCCAUUUAAAGUGGUACGCGAGCUGGGUUUAGAACGUCGUGAGACAGUUCGGUC